rnacentral:ncRNA from 2 species
GGGUGCCGCGCUCGUUGAGAGUGCAUGGCAGGUUAAUACGCUGGUCGGGCCGCCAACG